CUAUACAUGCAGUCGAGCGAACAGAAGGGAGCUUGCUCCCGGAUGUUAGCGGCGGACGGGUGAGUAACACGUGGGUAACCUGCCUGUAAGACUGGGAUAACUCCGGGAAACCGGAGCUAAUACCGGAUAGUUCCUUGAACCGCAUGGUUCAAGGAUGAAAGACGGUUUCGGCUGUCACUUACAGAUGGACCCGCGGCGCAUUAGCUAGUUGGUGGGGUAAUGGCUCACCAAGGCGACGAUGCGUAGCCGACCUGAGAGGGUGAUCGGCCACACUGGGACUGAGACACGGCCCAGACUCCUACGGGAGGCAGCAGUAGGGAAUCUUCCGCAAUGGACGAAAGUCUGACGGAGCAACGCCGCGUGAGUGAUGAAGGUUUUCGGAUCGUAAAGCUCUGUUGUUAGGGAAGAACAAGUGCGAGAGUAACUGCUCGCACCUUGACGGUACCUAACCAGAAAGCCACGGCUAACUACGUGCCAGCAGCCGCGGUAAUACGUAGGUGGCAAGCGUUGUCCGGAAUUAUUGGGCGUAAAGGGCUCGCAGGCGGUUUCUUAAGUCUGAUGUGAAAGCCCCCGGCUCAACCGGGGAGGGUCAUUGGAAACUGGGAAACUUGAGUGCAGAAGAGGAGAGUGGAAUUCCACGUGUAGCGGUGAAAUGCGUAGAGAUGUGGAGGAACACCAGUGGCGAAGGCGACUCUCUGGUCUGUAACUGACGCUGAGGAGCGAAAGCGUGGGGAGCGAACAGGAUUAGAUACCCUGGUAGUCCACGCCGUAAACGAUGAGUGCUAAGUGUUAGGGGGUUUCCGCCCCUUAGUGCUGCAGCUAACGCAUUAAGCACUCCGCCUGGGGAGUACGGUCGCAAGACUGAAACUCAAAGGAAUUGACGGGGGCCGCACAAGCGGUGGAACAUGUGGUUUAAUUCGAAGCAACGCGAAGAACCUUACCAGGUCUUGACAUCCUCUGACACCCUAGAGAUAGGGCUUUCCCUUCGGGACAGAAUGACAGGUGGUGCAUGGUUGUCGUCAGCUCGGUCGUGAGAUGUUGGGUUAAUCCCGCAACGGCGCACCCUUGAUUUAGUUGCCGCAUUUAUUGGG
rnacentral:rRNA from 1 species